GCUACGGCCAUACCAGCCUGGGUACGCCCGAUCUCGUCUGAUCUCGGAAGCUAAGCAGGGUAGGGCCUGGUUAGUACUUGGAUGGGAGACCGCCUGGGAAUACCAGGUGCUGUAAGCA
rnacentral:rRNA from 1 species